UUUUUUUAUUUUUUGUCUUUUUAGGGCCACACCUGCUGCAUACAGAGGUUCCCGGGCUCGGGGUCCAAUCAGAACUGUAGCCGCCAGCCUACACCAGAGCCACAGCAAUGUGGGAUCCAAGCCACGUCUUCAACCGACACCACAGCUCAUGGCAAUGUCGGAUCCUUAACCCACGGAGCAAGGCCAGGGAUUGAACCCCCAUCCUCAUGAAUGCUCGUCGGGUUGGUUAACCGCUGAGCCAGGAUGGGAACUCCUCUUUUUAUUUUUUAAGUAGACAUGUAAUAGACCUAUGAAUCAUGGACGGGUGAGAGGUACAGCCUGUUGGUUUGGCACCUUUGUCUGCUGCAAUAGGAUGACUCCUGGACCAUUACUUGCCAUGUCUACCACAUCACAGAGUUAUUUCCUUUUUUUGUGUUGAUAACGUUGAAGAUGUGUUUGACGUGUAUAAGACGGCAUUGUGCAUUAUUAUUACUGUGCUGUGCAGUCCAUCUCAGGAACCUACUUUCUGGUGUUUGACAUGAAUGGAUUUAUCUGUGCUUGGCUGUUAUUGUUGUUGGUGUUGUUUUGGGUAUUUUUUUUUAAUGAUUUUUAUUUUUUCCAUUACCGUUGAUUUACAGUGUGGUGUCAAUUUCUUCUGCACUGCAAAGUGACCCAGUCCUAUAAAUACGUAUAUAUACAUACAUCCCGUUUCUCACAUUAUCUUCCGUCAUGUUCCAUCGCAAGAGACCAGACACAGUUCCCUGUGCUGUACAGCAGGAUCUCAUUGCUUCUCCACUCCAAAGGCAAUUGUUUGCAUCUACCAAACCCCAGACUCCCAGGCCAUCAGUCCAUCCCACUCCUCCCCCAUCUCCCGGCAACCACAAGUCUCCUCUCCAAGUCCAUGAGUUUCUUUUCUGUGGAAAGGUUCAUCUGUGCCGUAUAUUAGAUUCCAGAUAUAAGUGAUAUCCUAUGGCAUUUAUUGUUCUCCCUCUGACCCACCUCACCUAGCAUGAGAGUCUCUAGUUCCAUCCAUGUUUGCUGCAAAUGGCAUUAUGUCGUUCUUUUUUAUGGCUGAGUAGUAUUCCAUUGUGUAGAUAUACCACAUCUUCUUAAUCCAUUCAUCUGUUGAUGGACAUUUAGGUUGUUUCCAUGCCUUGGCUAUUGUGAAUGGCGCUUCAAUGAACAUAGGGGUGCAUGCAUCUUCUUCAACGAAGUCCAGUCUGGAAAGAUGCCCAAGAGUGGGAUGGCUAGGUCCUAUGGUAGUUCUGUAUUUAGUUUUCUGAGGUACAUCCACGCUGUUCUCCAUAGUGGCUGCACCAGUUUACAUUCCCAUCAACAGUGCAGGAGGGUCCCCUUUCUCCACACCCUCCCUGGCAUUUGCCAUCCAUUGACCUAUUAAUGAUGCCUAUUCUGACUGGUGUGAGGUGGUACCUCAUUUUUUUGACUUGCAUUUCUCUAAUAAUCAGUGAUGUUGCGCAUUUCUUCAUGUGCCUGUUGGCCAUUUGUACAUCUUUUUUUUUUUUUUCCUUUUGCCACACCUGUGGCAUGUGGAAGUUCCUGGGAUUGAGCUAGCGCCAUAGCAGCAACUCAAGCUGCCACAGUGACAAUGCCAGGUCCUUAACCCGCUGCACCACAAGGGACCUCCACCAGUGCUCUUUGUUGCCACCAAACAUAGCUUUCACUGUGGGCUGGAAAGAGGCUUAUGGCUUCUGUAGAUAGAACAUGAUUUGGGAAAAUUGGCUUGGCCAGGUAGAGAUCACAGGUUGCCUGAUCAGUUUGGAAAGGCUUGUUUCAAAGGCUAGAGCUUGUGAACACCUGCCUCGUGGCGUUACAUGGCUUGAUAGCUCAUGUCUUUUUAGCACUGAGUAAUAUUCUCUUGUCUGCAUGGACCCAAGGUCACUGAUCUCUUCACCUCCACAUCCAAGAAGGACAUCUUGCUUUACUCCAGAUUUUGACAAUGAUGAAUCAAUUUGCUAUAAAUAUUCCUGGGCAGAACAUAUAAAUAGUUGCUUUUUUAUCAUAUUAUAUCCAGCCUAAAUACUGAGUUGAUGUGUUUUCUUACCUUCCCCUAAAUCCAUAGAGUGAAUUCUUCUCAUAUUCCUAAUUAAGAAACAAAAAAAAGGAGUUCCUAUUGUGACUCAGUGGACCUGAUGUUGUCUCCAUAAGUAUCCGGGUUUGAUCCCUGGACUUGCUUGGUAGGUUAAAGACCCAGCAUUGCUGCAAGCUGAGGCAUAGGUCACAGAUGCAGCUCAGAUCUGGUGUUGCUGCAGCUGCAGUGUACGCUGGCAGUUGCAGCUCUGAUUCAGCCCCUUGUCUGAGAACUUCCAUAUAUCACAGGUCUGGCUGUGAAAAGAAAAAGAAAAAAAUGGAUGAAAAAAAUUGGAGGCCAUCAAAGAUAGGACCAGAAAAUGCCUUGAGGUGAGGCAUUUCAAAUAUGUUUUCUGGAAUUCCCUGUUGGCUCAGCAGGUUAAGGAUCUGGCAUUGUCUGGCAUUGUUGUGGCUUGGGUUCAACUCGAUCCCUGGCCUGGGAACUUCUGCAUGCCUUGGGCGAGGCCAAAAAAAAAAAGAACAAGUCUUUCAGAAACCUUAGGAUGUAUCCUUCUACCACUGGCUAUCCAUCUUAGGUUUCUAAUUCAUUAGAUUCAUUCCCCCAGGUCACCACAAAUACUAUAAUUUUUUUUUCAAAUACUAUAAUUUUUAAUUAGCUCCUUUUGUAGAGGUUUAGGCGUAAAUAGAGUUUAGUGUAACUCAGGGAAACCGACGGUGAAUGAGUUCAUGUUUGGUCCUUGUCCUUCCGGAGAAGCAAUCAAUUUGACCUUUGAACAUGGGCUUCCCAACCAUUCCUGUGUCUUUUGAAACCACGGGACACCUCUGACUGGCCUUUGUGCCCAAGACCCAUGCGGGUUUUCAGUCCAAUAGGGCAAAAUUAAUAAGGGCUUCUGACGGUCAGGCGCGCUUUUGAAAACACCUGACUCCAUCCCAGGAAUCAGUGUGGCCUCUUGGAGUUUCAUCUGCGCAUCACCCUUCUAAGUUACUGUUCACAUGUGGUCUAGACCCAAGUCGUAAAAGAGACUGUUCUGCAAGAUAAAGCAAAUCCAUUCCGUCCUUUUUAAAUGAUGGCUUUGAAGAAUUUUGCUCAUGGUGCAUGCAAAAAUAUAUGCAUUCGCUGCGCUCAUCCCGGCCGUGUUUACCAAAGCCGGAAGGUGCGGUAUCGGAAUUGACAAGCCAGCGCCCCUUUCCUAGCAGCGCAGGGAGAUUGCUUUUGGAAAUUGGCUGCGGGCCACCUUGAUCAUCUAUCUUGAGAGACGCUUGAUGGAGCAAAGGCCCUUGCUGUGAACCCUAAAUAGCAGAGACCUAUUUUGCAUUAUGGUUUAUCACAGGAUAUUAAAUACAGUUUCCUGUGCUAUACAGCAGUACCUUGUUGUUAUUCAUUCUAUAUAUAAUGGUUUGCAACUGUUAAUCCCAAACUCCCAAUCCAUCCCUCCCCUAACCCCCCUUAGCAACACGUCUGUUCUCUGUAUCUAUGAGUCUGUUUCUGUUUCAUAGAUAAACUCCUUUGUCUCAUAUUUUAUAUUCCACUUAUAAGUGAUAUCGUAUAGUAUUUGUCUUUCUCUUUCUGACUUCACUUAAUACAAUAAUUAGUUGUAUGCAUGUUGCUGCAAAUGACAUUUCAUUCUUUUUAAUGACUGAGUAGUAUUCCAUUGUAUAUAUGUACCAUGUCUUCUUUAUCCAUUCACCUUUCUUUUUUUUUUCUUUUUUCUUUUUUAUUUAUUUUUUUUCCACUGUACAGCAUGGGGACCAAGUUACACUUACAUGUAUACAUUUUUUAACCCUUUGUUCUGUUGUGAUAUAAGAAUCUGGACAUAGUUCUCAAUGCUACUAAGCAGGAUCUCAUUGUAAAUCCAUUCCAAGUUGCAUCCGUUAACCCCAAGUUCCCGAUCCCUCCUACUCCCUCCCUCUCCCCCAGGUGGCCACAGGUCUAUUCUCCAAGUCCAUGAUUUUCUUUUCUGUGAAAAUCCACAUAUGACUUUAGUGUCAGUACCUGUAUCCUGGGUUUGCAUCCUGGACUUAAUCAGCUCAUGCUCAUCAUCAUUUAGGAAGGGUUGCUGUUUGGGGCUUCACGGCGCCUGUGCCCUGUUGCCCUUUUCUCAUUGGUCAGCUCCUGAUUUCAUGUUUACUGGGGGCAUCCAACUUAACCCACAGCUCGGAGCUAUGGAGACGGCAAGACACACAUGUUCCCUGAGACGUGACCAGCAAAAUACGUGUGGGGGAUAAGCUUGCAUACAAACACCUAAUGGAAUUCUGGAAUUUUUUUUUUCCCCACACCUACAGCAUGGGGAGGUUCCUUGGCCAGGGAUGGAAUCCAAGCUGUAGCUUCAAUCUAUGAUGCUGGAUCCCUAACCCACUGUGCCUGGCUAGGGAUCGCACCCGUGCCUCCACAGAGACAAGGCUGGAUCUUAACCCACUAACGUACAGCAAGAACUCUGGAAUUCUGGAUUUCUUAAGGUAGUUUGGACUUGAUGUGAGGCAAACAAUUAAAUCAUUCCUAAUACCCAAUUUCUUUUAUUUUUUCUUUCUUACGGCUGAACCUGUAGCACAUAGAUGUUCCCAUGGUGGCUCAGCGGAAAUGAACCUGACUAGUAUCUGUGAGGAUAUGGGUUCGAUCCCUGGCCUUGCUCAGUGGGUUAAGGAUUCGGCAUUGCUGCGAGCUGUGGCUAGACUGGCAGUUGCAGCUCCAAAUGAACCUCCAGCCUGAGGGGUGCAGCCCUAAAAAAUAAAAUAAUAAAAAGAGAGGCUUUUCUUUUUUUUUGCUUUCCUUUCAUAGUAAGACUGCACGACCACGCUAUCAUUUAGAUGCUAGAGCAAAACGUCUGAAAGAGUUUCCUUAAGACAUUCCAAAAUGUCUUAAAAUGUUCCCUGGAUUUGUUUUGUAAACAGGAAGAAAGAUGUGAUGAAAUAUUUGAUGUACACUCUUUGGUGUUAUCACAUCAGAAUAAACC
rnacentral:lncRNA from 1 species